AUGGUGGUGGUGGUGGUGACUUUCACUCUGAUCGGCUGUGCAUCGCUUGCCCCUCUGCCAACUCAACACCGAUUUUCUCCCCGCUCACGCAGUUUCUCCAGCAGCGACUUUUCCUCCUCAUUUCUUCCUCCAGGCACAGACAGACUACGGAGGUGCUGCCGGCAGCCUCUAUUUGCGGAAGGACAGGGAAACAACCAGCAGGUGGUGCACGCAGCCCUCCAAGGCCUUCUGGCUUGUGGGAAGCAAAGGGUCAAGUAGGAAGAGUGUCGUGGUUAUUUAUUUCGUCAACUGAUGAAAUUAAGUGAAAAUGAUUCUCAGAGGCCAGGCCCUUGCCUAAAUGUAAACCUCAUUUCUCAUUACCGUGACGGUUCCAUCUCUGAUCCCUUUAUUGAGAAGCCCAGCUGCUGUACGUCAUCUCCCAUACUUAAGGGUAGGUUUGAAGCAAAAAUAAAGGUACUCUUCAUAUGUAAACA
rnacentral:lncRNA from 1 species